GUUUGAUUGAGUAUGAAUUUUUUUUGUGGGUUGGUUCUCUUUUCAGUCUUUUGGACUGGGGCUUGUGGAAAUGUCCUGUAGGAGUUUUUGAAAGUGCCCAAUUUGUAUUUACUAGACUGAGGUUUGAUGUGGGUUUCUUCAAAUUCAUUUGACUGAGGUACUUCAACAAGUGUUUAAUGGUGUGAUAUGGUCUCUGUUGGUUUUGGCACUGUUGCUCUU
rnacentral:misc_RNA from 1 species